GAUGGCCGCCCUGUUGUUUUGAUGAAUAAUACUUGGUGGGGCGAGGGGUAAGAGUAGGGGUGGAGGGGUAGGAGGGUUUACUCUUCCAGCCAAAGCAUCGCGAAUCCGGUCCUCCCCCUCCCCCCUGCCCGGGCUCCGGCGUGGAGGCGGGGCGUGGCCGGCCUGCUUUGGGAGGGGAGGAGCUUCCCUCCUCAGUGCUGGGCUCUGCCUGGGCGGCUCUGGGGUCGCCUUGCCUCGGGGCACCCACUCUGCAGUUGAACACUUCCCGCCAGGGGCAAAGGGUAGAGAGGAGAGCAGGAUCUGCUGGAGGAAGCGCAGCUGCCGCGCCACCACCACGAAGACACUAGGCUCCAGGCACGAGACGAGCUGGAGACCGAGCUCCCUAGUCUGGGUAACCUGGGAGGCAGAGGGUAAUAAGUAGCGCCUUAAGAUAACCCUGUAGCAGCAGCAGUGGCGGUCAAAGGAGGCUGCUCGUGGCGUAAGCAGCUGUAGGAGCCUCUGGGGCGAUUGGAGUGACCGACGCCAAGGCAUCUCAGUGCCUCCCGUGUUCUUAUUUUUUAACCUCUGACUAUGCAAUUCUGAAACCUCCCCCAUUCGGGGGACCAGACAGCCCGAUAGACACCUUCCACUCUCCUCCCGCCCUGGUCUCAAAGAACAGAAGAUCUCUCCCUAACGCCUUUCACCAUUAAGAGGAAAGCGAUGGAGGAGCUGAGCGCUGAUGAGAUCCGACGGAGGCGCCUUGCACGACUUGCUGGUGGACAGACCUCCCAGCCAACCACCCCGCUCACCUCUCCCCAGAGGGAGAACCCUCCCGGGCCUCCUAUAGCAGCAUCAGCCCCUGGCCCCUCCCAGAGUCUUGGUCUCAACGUCCACAACAUGACCCCAGCUACCUCCCCCAUAGGUGCAUCAGGAGUAGCCCAUCGAAGCCAGAGCAGUGAAGGAGUCAGUUCUCUCAGCAGCUCGCCCUCCAAUAGCCUCGAAACACAAUCUCAGUCUCUCUCACGUUCCCAGAGCAUGGAUAUCGAUGGAGUCUCUUGUGAGAAAAGCAUGUCCCAGGUGGAUGUGGAUUCAGGAAUUGAAAAUAUGGAGGUUGAUGAAAGUGACCGAAGAGAGAAAAGGAGCCUCAGCGAUAAGGAGCCUUCAUCAGGUUCUGAAGUGUCUGAAGAACAGGCCUUACAGCUGGUCUGUAAGAUCUUCCGUGUCUCCUGGAAGGACCGGGACAGAGAUGUCAUCUUUCUUUCUUCUCUUUCUGCACAAUUUAAGCAGAACCCAAAAGAAGUGUUCUCUGAUUUUAAGGACUUGAUUGGCCAGAUUCUAAUGGAAGUGCUAAUGAUGUCCACCCAGACUAGAGAUGAAAACCCAUUUGCCAGCCUGACGGCCACAUCCCAGCCAAUUGCAGCAGCAGCUCGGUCACCUGACAGGAACCUCAUACUGAACACCGGCUCCAACCCAGGAACAAGCCCUAUGUUCUGCAGCGUGGGUUCCUUCGGUGCCGGCUCUUUGUCUAGUUUGGGAGCCUCUGGUGGGGCAAGUACUUGGGAUUCCUACAGUGACCAUUUCACCAUUGAGACGUGCAAGGAGACAGAUAUGCUGAACUACCUCAUCGAGUGUUUUGACCGAGUUGGAAUAGAGGAAAAAAAAGCACCAAAGAUGUGCAGCCAGCCAGCAGUCAGCCAGCUUCUGAGCAACAUCCGCUCACAGUGCAUAUCCCACACUGCGUUAGUCCUGCAAGGCUCCCUCACACAACCAAGGUCCCUGCAGCAGCCGUCCUUCCUGGUGCCGUACAUGCUGUGUAGGAAUCUCCCGUACGGCUUCAUUCAAGAACUGGUGAGAACCACUCACCAGGAUGAAGAGGUGUUCAAGCAGAUCUUUAUCCCCAUUUUACAAGGCCUGGCUCUUGCUGCCAAAGAGUGCUCCCUCGAUAGUGACUACUUUAAAUACCCCCUCAUGGCUUUAGGUGAGCUCUGUGAAACCAAGUUUGGAAAGACACACCCUGUGUGCAAUUUGGUUGCUUCUUUGCCGUUGUGGUUACCUAAAUCCUUAAGCCCUGGCUCUGGGCGGGAGCUGCAGAGACUCUCGUAUCUGGGGGCUUUCUUUAGCUUCUCAGUCUUUGCAGAAGAUGAUGCAAAAGUGGUUGAAAAAUAUUUCUCAGGCCCUGCCAUUACCCUGGAAAACACGCGCGUGGUGAGCCAGUCGCUGCAGCAUUACUUGGAGCUGGGAAGGCAAGAGCUUUUCAAGAUUCUGCACAGUAUUUUGUUAAAUGGUGAGACCCGCGAGGCUGCUCUUGGUUACAUGGCAGCUGUCGUCAAUGCCAACAUGAAGAAAGCACAGAUGCAGACAGAUGACAGAUUGGUGUCUACUGACGGAUUUAUGCUGAAUUUCCUUUGGGUGCUGCAGCAGCUAAGUACAAAGAUCAAGUUGGAGACGGUUGACCCCACGUACAUAUUCCACCCGAGGUGUCGGAUUACUCUUCCCAGCGACGAGACGAGAGUGAACGCCACGAUGGAGGAUGUGAAUGGCUGGCUGACCGAACUUUAUGGAGAUCAGCCUCCAUUUUCUGAGCCGAAGUUCCCUACGGAAUGCUUCUUUCUUACCUUGCACGCCCACCACCUGUCAAUUCUGCCGAGUUGCCGUCGCUACAUCCGCAGACUCCGGGCCAUCCGAGAGCUCAACAGAACCGUGGAAGAUUUGAAAAAUAAUGAAAGCCAAUGGAAAGACUCCCCACUGGCAACUAGACACCGCGAAAUGCUGAAGCGCUGCAAAACUCAGCUUAAGAAACUGGUACGAUGCAAGGCCUGUGCUGAUGCUGGAUUACUUGACGAGAGCUUCCUGAGAAGAUGUCUGAACUUCUACGGCCUUCUCAUUCAGCUGCUGCUCCGCAUCCUGGACCCUGCCUACCCCGAUGUAACACUGCCUUUAAAUUCAGAUGUCCCCAAGGUAUUUGCAGCAUUGCCUGAGUUUUAUGUAGAAGAUGUUGCUGAAUUUUUAUUUUUUAUUGUACAAUACUCUCCUCAGGUGCUUUAUGAGCCCUGCACUCAGGAUAUUGUGAUGUUCCUCGUUGUGAUGUUGUGUAACCAGAACUACAUCCGAAAUCCGUAUCUGGUGGCCAAACUGGUAGAAGUCAUGUUUAUGACCAACCCUGCUGUUCAGCCACGGACCCAGAAGUUUUUUGAAAUGAUUGAGAACCAUCCUCUCUCCACCAAGCUGUUGGUCCCCUCCCUGAUGAAGUUUUAUACAGAUGUUGAGCAUACUGGAGCCACCAGCGAGUUCUAUGACAAGUUCACCAUUCGCUAUCAUAUUAGCACCAUUUUUAAAAGCCUUUGGCAAAACAUAGCUCACCAUGGCACCUUUAUGGAGGAGUUCAAUUCUGGGAAGCAGUUUGUGCGCUAUAUAAACAUGCUGAUAAACGACACAACGUUUCUGCUCGAUGAAAGUCUGGAGUCUCUGAAGCGGAUCCACGAGGCGCAGGAAGAGAUGAGGAACAAGGAGCAGUGGGACCAGCUGCCCCGGGACCAGCAGCAGGCCCGCCAGUCCCAGCUCGCUCAGGACGAGCGCGUUUCGCGCUCCUAUCUUGCCCUGGCGACGGAAACCGUGGACAUGUUCCAUAUCCUCACCAAGCAGGUCCAGAAGCCGUUCCUCAGACCCGAACUUGGACCCCGAUUGGCUGCGAUGCUGAACUUUAAUCUUCAGCAACUCUGUGGUCCUAAGUGCCGUGACCUGAAAGUUGAAAACCCUGAGAAAUAUGGCUUUGAACCAAAGAAGCUAUUGGACCAACUGACGGAUAUUUACUUGCAGCUGGACUGUGCCCGGUUCGCUAAAGCCAUUGCUGACGACCAGAGAUCCUACAGCAAAGAGUUGUUUGAAGAAGUCAUUUCAAAGAUGCGGAAGGCAGGGAUCAAAUCCACAAUAGCGAUAGAGAAGUUUAAACUUCUGGCCGAGAAAGUGGAGGAGAUUGUGGCCAAGAACGCGCGCGCAGAAAUCGACUACAGUGACGCCCCAGACGAGUUCAGAGACCCUCUGAUGGACACCCUGAUGACUGACCCCGUGCGGCUGCCCUCCGGCACUGUCAUGGACCGCUCCAUCAUCCUGCGGCACUUGCUGAACUCCCCCACAGACCCCUUCAACCGACAGACGCUGACAGAGAGCAUGCUGGAACCAGUGCCAGAACUGAAAGAACAGAUUCACGCCUGGAUGAGAGAGAAACAGAACAACAAUGUCCUCUGUUCAAUUCCUAACGCAAACUACAAUAAAUGGUGAUACACAUUCAGAAGGAGUCUUCUUCGAGUCUCUUCUUUUUGUGGAGAACAAAGGGCUGCGCCACACGGCUUGCAGAAUCUUAGUUCCCCAACCAGGGAUUGAACUCAGGCCCAUGGCAGUGAAAGUGCUGAGUCCUAACCACUGGAUCACCAGGGAAGUCCCACAAUUAACGAUCUUAAUGUAUAAAACUCAGUGGUGUUUGGUGUAUUCACAGUGUCAAGCAGUGACCAGCCUUCUCAAGUUUCAAACACAUGAACGUGGUUUCAGGACCUUACAGUUUUGACUUUAAUCUUUUGAAUAGGAAAUAUGUACAAACAGUUCUAAAUGCAAGAAAUGCCAAAAAAAAUACUGAGAGAGAGGACUGGCUCCUCCUUCCUACCCCAGUCCUCCAGCCUCCUAAGACCCCUCCCACCCCUGUUACCAGUUUUCUUUUUCAACAUAAAUGGUAGUUCUACGCUGUUUGCUUCUUGCUUUUUUCCACGUAAAAUAUACCCUGGGAUCUUUUUUUUUUCUCCCAACAGCACAAAUAUUCUAUUACCACUAAGUCAUCUAUUGAUAGCACUUGGGCUGAUUGCAAUCUGGAUUACCUCAAGCAGUGCAGCAGUGAACAACCUUGUAAAAGUAUCAUUUUGUACAUGUGCAAACAUAUGAGAGAGAAAGAGAUAUAUAUGCCUAGCAAUGGAAUUGGAUGAUCAAGGAGUAUACAAAAUUCCAAUUUUGCUAUAUAUGGGGAUGUACCGUUUACCUUCUCACCAGCAGUGUAUGAGAAACUUUCACUUUUAGGGGGUGGUCAGGGAAGGUCUCUCCGAAAAAGUAUCAUUUAAAAAAAAAUCUUGAAAGUGGGGAAUUCCCUGGCUGUCCAGUGGUUAGGACUCGGCAAUUCCUCUGCAGGGGGCCUGAGUUCGAUCCCUUGUCAGGGAACUAGGAUCCCACAAGCCACAUGGCCAAAAAAAGAAGAAAAGAAAAAAAUCUUGAAAGUAAUAAAGAGAGGCCUGCAAAGAUCUGUGGGAAGAGUGGUCCAGCCAGCGGAAACAAGCAAAUGCAGACGCUACUGCUGGAGUUCUCUUGCUACGUUUAAGGGAAAAAAAAGAGGUCAGUUUGUUGGAGAGAAGUGAACAAGCUGUGAGCAGCAGGAGAUGAGGUUAGAGAAACUGAGAGGGCUGGAGAGAUGGUGACUACACACGAUAAGCCAUUGCAAAGACUAUGGCUUUACCUUGAGUGACAGCGAUUGCUAUUGGAAGGUGUGAGCAAAAGAGUGACACGACCCAACAUUCAUUCACAUUAUCAGCUCUGGCUGCUGUGCAAAAUAGAUUGAAAAGGGGAUGGCAGGUGUAAAAACACAGAUGUCAGGGCUCCAAGUGGAAGGCUAGUGCGGCAGUUCAGGAAAGAGAUGGAAGCUUACAUCAGGGCAGUGGCAGCAGAGGUGUGACAUAUGGAGAUUCUGGAAAUAUUCUGAAGGCAGAGUCAAAGGAUUUGCUGAUUGCCUGGAUGUAAGAAAGACAGAAAAAAAGGGGAUUAAAUCUGGCCGGAAAUUUUUGGCUUGAACAGCUUGAGAGAUGGAGUUGCCAUUUACUUACAAGGGGAAGACUGAAAGAAGAGUAAUUUGGGAGUAGGGAAAUUCAGUUGCUUUCCCCCCACACCGAUCAGGGAUGGAACCUGUGCCCCCUGAAGUGGAAGUGACAAGUCUUAACCACUGGACCACUGGGGAAAUUCCCAUUUUGUUCGUUUUAAAUUGAAGGUGACUUUAGCCAUCCUAAUGGCUAUGUCAAAUAGGGAACUGGAUGUUUGAGCCUAAGUUCAUGGCAAAGGUCCAGAUUAGAGAAAGUAAUUUGGGAAUCAUUCCUAGACUUUACAAAUGCUAGGUUGUCUUAUCUAUGAGCUUAGUAAAUAUCUUUUAUUUUGUUUUUAAUAUUCUACUAUAAAGAUUUAAAUUUUUCUCUGUAAUGGUUUUGUGCAUAUGUUAGGUUAUGUCCAAUUUACUUUAGUUUUAUGAUGAAAAAGAUACCUUUUCUACUAUACUUUCUAGUUGGAUAUUAUUGGUGUGGAGAUAUGAUUUUUUGAAGUUUAUCUUUUAUCUAUCAAUCUUAUUAUUUCUAUUAAUUCUGGGAUUCUGAUGGGGUCUCCUAUGUAGAUAAAUGUAUCUGCAAAUAAAGAUAGUUUUGCCUCUUCCUUUCCACUUUUUAUACCACUCAUUUUUCUUAGUACAUUGGUAAGAGCUUUCAGCACCCCGUUGAACAGAAAAAGUCAGACUAGGCAUCUUUGCUUUGUUCCAGAACUAAAUGGGAGUGUAUAUAAACAAAUUUUUAAGGGACUUCCCUGGUGGUACAGUAGUUAAGACUCUGUGCUCCCAAUGCAGGGGGCCUGGGUUUGAGCCCUGCUCAGGGAACUGGAUCCCACAUGCAUGCUGCAAUGAAGACCCAGUGCAACCAAAUUACAAAAAAAAAAAAUUUUUUUAAUGUUUUAAGGCAUGUGAUUUUUUUUAAGGUAGGUUUUUGGGAGAUAGUCUGUAUCAAGUUGUGCAGUUUCCUUCUAUUUUUUAUUUUGAGAAAAUUUCUGGACUUCUCUGGAAGUUCAGUGGUUAAGACUCUGCACCUCCAGUGCAGGGGAGGAGGGUUUGAUCCCUGGUCAAGAACUAAGAUCCCACAUGUCAUGCAGCCAAAAAUUGAAAAAGAAAGAAAGAAGGAAAGAAAGAAGGAAAGGAAGGAAGGAAGGAAGGAAGGAAGGAAGGAAGGAAAAGAAAGAGAGAGAGAAAGAGAGAAAGAGAGAGAGAAAGAGAGAGAGAAAGAAAGAAAGAAAGAAAGAAAGAAAGAAAGAAAGAAAGAAAGAAAAAGAAAGAAAGAAAGAAAGAAAAAGAAAGAAAGAAAAAAGAAAGAAAGAAAGAAAAAGAAGGAAGGAAGGAAGGCAGGAAGGAAGAAAGGAAGGAAGAAAGAAAGUUUCUAUGGUAAAUAUUGAAAAUUACGAAGGGCUUUUUUUCAACUCAUGUGAUUUUCAUUAUUAUUGCUAAGAAUUACACUCAAAUAUUUUUAUCUUAAACCAUUCUUGCAUUCCUGCAUGAUCAGUUUCAGCUGAUGAAUAUUUUAUUUAGGAUUUUUGCUCUCAUUAGCAGAGAUGAAAUGAACCCAUACUUUCCUUUUCUACAUUUCAUUCUCAGUUUUGUAAUUAAAGAUUUUACUAGCUCCUCAAAAUUACUUGAGGAUAUUUUAUUCAUUGAGUAAAUAUUUCAAAGAUAUUCACUGAGAGUCAUUAUGUGACAAAUACUGUUCCAGAUGCUGGAAAACAGAAGUCCUGUCAUCAUGGAAUUUACGUUCCAAUGAGAGGAAACAGACAAUAAAUAAGAUAAAUAAGUAAAAUAUACAGUAUGAUGGAUGGUGGCAAAUAUUAAGGAGAAAAAUAAAACAGGGAAGAGGGAAGUGAGUGGGUUCCAGUUUUACUGGGGGUGAACAGGUAAGACCCCUGAGAAGAUGACAUUUGAUCUUUCCCUUUUUUUGGUUUUCUGGAACAAACUUAGAUGAUAGGGGUCAUGUAUACUUUGAAAGAUUGACAGGACCUCCCUCAAAUAAUCUAAACCUGGUGCUUUUUUGUUGUGGGAUACAGUUAGGGGCAGUAGGGACAUCUAAGGAACAUGUCAUUUUCUUUAAUGGUUAUUACAGACAGAGCUCAACAUAAUAUUCCCUUUUAUUAUAUUUAUGUCUGUAGUUAUUUUCCCUUUCUCAUUGCAAAUUGUAUUUAUUUACAUCAUUUCUCUUUUUCUUUAUUAUUCUUAUCAGAUGUUUCUCUAGCUUAUUAAUUUUUUUUCAAAGAACCAGCUAUUGUAUUUCUUAUCAAAGCAUAAUAUACAUACAGAAAAGUGCAUAUAUCCUAAGUCAACAGCUCCCUGACUGGGCAUGAACCCAACCAUGCAAUCAGCACCUGGUCCAGAAACAUCACCAGAACCCCGGAGCCCCCUCCUGUUCUCUUCCAGGUACCAUUCCUCCCAGAGGUCUUAAAAGGAACCACCAUCCUGGUGAGAACUAACUUGUGAUGUGGGUAACUUGGUUUAUUGUGUUCUUUGUUCUUAACCUUUUUAUUCCCUCUCUUUCUGUUCUUUGGGUUUACAUUUGCUCUUUUUCUAGCCUCUUGAAUUGAACACAUAUUUUCUCUCUUAUUUUCUGAUAAGUGUAUUUAAAGUUACAAAUUUUUCUACAGUACUGUUUCCACUGGAUUCCACCAGCUUGGACAUGUAGUGUUUAUAUUGUUAUUCAUUUCUGUCUUUUAUAAUCCCUUUUAUGAUUUUAUUUUCAAGUGUUAUUUAGUAGUAUUUUUAAAGCUUCUAGACACACAUCUAUAGUUACAUUUAAAUCAAUUUAAAAUCUAUUUCUCAUUUUAUUGGAUUGUGCUCUGGAAACAAUUGUCAAAAUGAUGUUGAUUCUUGGGAAUCUAUGAAAGCUUCCCUGGGGCCUUGUGUAUGAUUAAGUUUUGUAACUGUUCCAUGUAUCUCAGUGUGUAUUUUCUGUUUAUUAGGUGUAAAAAUCUAUAGUUAUUUACUAACUCCAGCUUACUAAUUGUGUUAUUUAAAUUUUCUCUAUUUUUGCUUACUUUUUUUGUCUGGUUUCUGAUGCAUCUAUUUCUGAAACUGUAUGAUAAAAUCUCUAUUCUAAUUGGUUUUUGUUGUUGUUGUUGUUGUUUUUAAUUUAUUUGGCUGUGCCAGGUCUUAGUUGCAGCACACAGGAUCUUCGUUGCCAUGUGCAAGAUCUUUAUUGUGGCAUGUGGGAUCUUUUUUUUUUUCCUUUAGUUGCGGCAUGCGGUAUCUAGUUCCCUGACCAGGGAUCAAACCUGCGCCCCUUGCAUUGGGAGCUUGCAGUUUUAACCCCUGGACCACCGGGGAAGUCCCCUCCAUUCCAAAUGGACCCAUCUAUUUCUCUUUGUGAUUUUAUUGGUAAUUGCUUUAUAUCUUUUUUUUUACAGAAUAAAAUUUUACACUAUUUUAAUUAAAGAGAAAGAAGAAAGCAUAUUAAAAGGAAGGAUGUGGGGACUUGCUGUGGGUGAGACUCCAUGCUCCCAAAGCAGGGGGCCCACGUUUGAUCCCCGGUCGGGUAACUAGAUCCCUCAUGCAUGCCACAACUGAGAGUCCACAUGCCACAACUAAAGAUCCUGCAUGCAGCACAUAAGACCUGUCACAGCUAUGUGGCAUGCACUGGGCGAGGUGGUAGGAUGCAGACCAAAACUCAAAGUCUGUUGGAGUUAGAAAAGGCCAACAUAGAGGUACUUGAUGGCAUCUGGUUUCAGGACUUAAUGAAGCUCAGGUUCUUGAUGUCUCAUGGCAGAAAGAAGUCAGUGAGAGACACAGGGAUAGGUAAGAAGCAGAUUUAUUCAGAGACAGACACACUCCACAGACAGAAUGUGGGCCAUCUCAGAAGGUGAGAAAAGGCUGCUUUAUAUCUUUUGAGGCUAUGUUGUAAGGAAGAUAUACUCAUUUAUUAGAUUUUUUCAUUAUCUCUCCUUUUGCCAUCUUUUUGUAUCUUAUGAAGUUUUUCAUCUUAAUUUCUAUCUUAUCCAAUAUUAAAAUUGCUUCUGUGGUGUUGUUUUGAUUUAUAAGUUUGCCUCGUGUGUCUUUCCUUUGCCUUGUUUUUCUCCCUACCUUUUUAUUAUGAAAGAUUACACCUAUUCAGAAAAGUGCCUGAAACACAGAUGUACAACUUGGUGAAUUAUUAUCAAGUUUGUACCUGUGUGACUGGCACUCAGGCAAAGACACGGAACACUUCCAGGGUCCCAGAAGCCCGUUCACUGCUUGUUCCCCAUCACAACACUCCCAACCCCCAUCCACAGGUAAGCGUUAUCUUGAUUUCUAUGAUAAUCACUUCCUCAGUUUUCUUUAUGGUUUUGUCACCUAGGUAUACAUCCCUAAACAGUAGAGUUUAAUUUUACCUGCCUUGAAAUUUUAUAUUAAUAUAUUUAAAUCUGACUUUUCUUGAUCAAUAUUACAUCGUGAGAAUGAGUGUAGUCAGUAUUGUGGCAUUACCUAUGACUCAUUCAUUUUCAUUACUAUAUAUAUUUCAUUGUAUAAAUAUACCAAAAUAUUUUUUAUCCAUUUUACUGUUGAUGGACACUUGUAGUUCCAGUUUGGAACUAUUAUAAAUAACGUGGCUAUGAACAUUCUUGAAUAUGUUUCAGGCUAUGUUGGAUUUUGGAUCUUGGAUUUUUGUCAAAUGCAUUUUCUGCAUCUAUUGAGAGGUUAAUAUAGUGUUUUUUAUUUUAGGCUGUUAAUAUGAUAAAUUACACUGAUGUUUUUUUUUUUUUUGAUUUUUUUUUCAUGUGGACCAUUUUUUUUUUUUACGUCUUUAUUGAAUUUGACACAAUAUUGCCUCUGUUCUAUGUUUUGGUUUCUUGGCCACAAGGCAUGUGGGAUCUUAGCUCCCUGACCAGGGAUCGAACUUGUACCCCACUGCACUGGAAGGCAAAGUCUCAACCACUGGACCACCAGGAAAGUCCCCUAUGCUGAUUAAUUUUUGAAUGUUAAACCUUGCCAUCCUAGGAGAAAUCCCACUAGAACAUCAUGUAUUAUUUUUUUCAUAUAUUGUUUGGCUCAAUUUGCUAAAAUUUUGUUGAAUUUUUACAUCUAUCUAUAUCUAAUAUUUAUAUUGGUUUAUAGUUUUUCUUUUUUUGUACUAUCUUUUUCUGGUGUUAGUAACUUCCUCACUGACUUUUUCUCUAUAUUUGAGAUGUCAAUUUUCAAAGUCACUGUAUUGCAUACAUCAGUGAUUCAGCAUUAUAACCUAUGAUGCCACUUCUUUCUCUCUUUACAUAUACAUAUACACAUUUUUUUAAUGUUUCCCCUCUUAGUCCCUUCUUAAUGUCUUCCAGUGGAAUUUCUCAAUCUGAUCUUCUAACUCACGAAUUCCCUCUUCGUAUGCAUUUUCCUGUUGAACACUGUAUUCCAAUUAGUUUUUUUAAAUAACUGCUUAUGUCAUUACCUAUUACCAGUAGCUUAUCUCUUUGAAGAUAUUUAUUAUGCUUAUUGGAAAUUUUUGUUGUGUCUUAGUCCAUUAAUUCUGCUUCCUCUAAUAUAAGUUGUUCAGUGUAUGGUCUCUGAUUUAUGUUAUAGCUGUCUUGCUCCUUCAAUGUAUAGUUAUUUUCUCAUGAGCUCAUAUACCUCUGGGCACAAUAAGUUACCAGAUGGUAAUGGUAAUGUGUAGGGAGCAGGGCUAAAGCUCAGGCCCUAGUGUGUGCCCUCCUGGUGACUGAGUGUGUGUGUGUGUGUGUGUGUGUGUGUGUGUAUUGGGGGUAGAGUUGGUGGCAUUACAUUAUAGGUCUCAUGAGUCCCCAUUUGUCAUCCCAACAGGCCACACUGCCCGUCAGGAAAACUUCUUGUUGGAAUUCCCUUGUGGUCCAGUGAAAAUUGAAGACAGAGUUCCCAGCUGAAGGAGAAAAAGGGAAACAAACUUUUCAAGAAGCAGCUUCUGUUUUCUCUGAUUGCCAAGUGUGGACUAAGAGGCCAAAAUUGCUGCCAAGUAACCUCUUUAGCUAUAAGCUAAAUAUAUCAUCUUUUCUCUUUUUUACAAAUUGUACCUUCUCGUUGGAGUGCACACAUUCUUGGCUGUGAUGCAGGUAUGACCUAAUUUUGAUGUAAAGUGUGUGGGAGAAUGAACUUUUAAAGUCAUGCUUCUAAAGCUGAGACGUUUGCAGUAGAGAGAAUGGAUUUGGUUGAAUCAGGCAGAAUGCUACUCUGCUUUGGAUGGUAUUCAAAUUGUUUUCUUCUUUCUUUUUCGGUACUUCGUCAAUGUCUGUCUGUUUUAGGUACUAUGAGGAGUGUACCGUGCUGUGCGGAAGAGCGUGGGGUUUGGAGCCAGAUGUUCAUGGAUUUGAAUCCUGACGCCACCACCACUUACUAACUGUGACUGUGAAUAAAUUACUUAAUCUCUUUAUGAGUCUUCUGUGGCCGCUGUAACAGAUUACCACAAAUUGGGUGACUUAGGAUAACAGAAUUUUAUGAUCUCAUAUUUCUGGAGGCCAGAAGUCCAAAAUCUGUAUCGCUGGACUGAAAAAUCAAAGUAUUGGCCCAAGUCAUGCUGCUGCCAGAGGCAUUUGCCUCUUCCAGCUUCGGCUUGUGGCUGCAUUGCCCCAGUCUAUGCCUCUGUGGUCACACUGCCGUCCCCACUUUUGUUUUAUAUGUGCGUGUGUGUAUAUAUAUAUAUUUUUAAUUUUUUGGCCACGCCCCAGCAGCAUGGGGAAUCUUAGUUCGCCGACCAGGGAUUGAACCCACACCCCCUGCAGCGGAAGCAUAGAGUCUUAACCACUGGACCACCAGGGAAGUCCCCCCACUUUUGGGCACUUUUGUAUGUGCAGUCAAAUCUCCCUCUGCCUCCCUCUUAUAAGGAUACACAUGAUUGCAUUUAGGGCCCAUUUUUUAUAAUCUAGGAUAAUCUCCUUGCCUCAAAAUCCUAAAUUUACAUCUGCAAAGGCCCUGUUUCCAUACAAGGUAAUACUUACAGUUUCCAGGGAUUGGGACCUUGGUACCAUUGGAAAGACAUUUACUGGUCUCCACAAUGUCUCUGAGUUUCCUUUUGUGAAUCUGCAACAAGAGUACCUAUUUUGUAGACUGUUGUGAAGAUCAAAUGGAAUAAUUAAUGUGGAGUGCUUAAUACAGUUCUUGGUUUAUAGUGAAUGCUCAAUAAAUACUGCUAUCAUCAGUAGCACCAUCAUUCUUACCAUCAUCUAUUUAAAUUCUUGGUCUCUCUGGAGAGGGAGAAAAAUAUCCAGUGAGUACAGAAGGCCAAGAUAUUAGAAACUGAAUGUUGUUUAGAACUCAUGUACUCUAAUCGCCUUACUUAAUGAUCAAAGACUGAAGUCUAGAGAUAUUGACUUACUCAUGAUCCCACAGCUAGGAUGAAGCAGACAUAUUUCAUCAUAACAUUACAGAUACUGUGACUCUGUAAUCGGUAGACAGGGAAACAAGGGGAAGGAGGAAUAAGAUCACUUAGAGGGACAGAGAAGAAAGAUUCAAUGAGCUUGUUUUUGACUUGAUGGGACUAUGGCUUUAUUAUUAUUAAUAAGACAGUGCACCAGAUAUUGUGUUUUACACUCACUUUUUUUUUUGGUUGUACUGCACAGCUUGUGGGAUCUUAGUUCCCUGAUCAGGGAUUGGACCCAGCAGUGAAAUUGCAGAGUCCUAACCACUGGACUGCCAGGGAAUUCCCUAUACUCACACUGAUUUGAUUCGCACAACGUGAAGGGCACAUUAGGGACUUCCCUGGUGGCACAGUGGUUAAGAAUCUGCCUGCCAAUGCAGGAGACACAGGUUUGAGCCCUGGUCUGGGAAGAUCCCACAUGCUGCAGAGCAAUUAAGCCCAUGUGCCACAACUACUGGAGCCCACGCACCUAGAGCCCGUGCCCCACAAGAGAAGCCACUGCAAUGAGACGCCCGGGUACCACAUCGAAGAGUAGCCCCUGCUCACCACAACUAGAGAAAGCCCACGCACAGCAACGAAGACCCAACACAGCCAGUAAAUAAAUAUGUAAAUAAAUAAAUUAAUUCUUUUAAAAAGAGCCAAUUAGAUAUUAUCUUCACUCCCAUUUUAGAGAUGAGGAGACCGAGGGUUAUGUGCUCAAGGGCACAUGGCAAGUGACAGAAUUAGAAUCCAAACAGUUGGAUUGUGAAGGCCAGCUGCUCUCGACCCCUCUCUACUCCCUCUUUCUAGCAGAUGUUUUUUCUCCACAUAAAUUAUAUAUUCAUCUCAAGUGGUUGUUCUCUAAGCAAGAGUAACAAAGUGCAAUUCCCGUGAGGCACUGUCUGAGAGCUGGAGCUUGGGGACAGGAUACAUCUUCAGGAUAGUUUCCUUGGACUGGGAACUUGGGAAUGAUGGAGAUGAUGUGGUCAUCUGACACAUCAUGACUCCGCUGAGCCCCCGUUCACCUGGGCAUUUUGCUCCUAGCUCUCUGCUUUGCCUAGAGUGUCCCCAUUUGUGUGUCCUAAGGAUCCCUUCCUGGCAGCUGGACUCUGUCUGGAGCUGUAGGGAGCCCAUUUCAGGCACCACCUUCUUCCCAUGUGUUCUAGGGCCAUCUGUCCCUGGCACAGUAAUUGCCAGAAACAACGAUUUGGUUUCUAUAAUCAUGGCUUUAAGACCAAAGUUAAUUGAUACAAGGUUGUGCCUAAUUAGUAAAAAUGCUUGUUACAGAAAAAUGAUACGGAAACUGCAAUUUGGAAGAAGGGAAUCUACGCAGAGGAUUCUUAUUUGGCUGAAAUGAUGGAACCCCAGUCAGGACCAAGGGAAAAGCCAGACACACUGAUUACAGUUGACUGUUUUUGCAAAGAGCCAACAGCUGAUUAAAACAAAAUCUUGCACUAAUUGCUGGGAAUGAAGAGAACACACCAAACUAAAAUUACCCAUUCUUUCAGUCUUUACAAAAAUAUCAGUGCACGGUUUUUGAUUCGUUACCUCUACACGGAUUGUUUGAUAUUUACUAUGUGGUCCUCAAGGCCAGGGUGACCUCAGCAAUUGUGCUAACCUGCAUUAGGUUGUGUAUAUUACUUGUUAAACUGAUAUUCAUUUUAUAUUUAAAUGAAUUGAGCAUUGGAGAAAAGGGGGUGGGUGGAAAUGACACCAAUUGUUUUUACUCUUGCCUUUAACAACUUUAGAAAAUGUGGUCCAGGCAGAGACUUUUUUUCUUUUCAGGACUGUCUAGAGGACUAAAACCUUAUUUUCAAAGGUGUCACACUUGCCCUACUCGACAUGUUUUUCAAACUACUUUUCUAUAAUUGUGUUUACGUCCUGUGGUAUGAUUUUGACUAUUCUAGACAGUAACAGAAUUCAGUUUUUGUAUGUUUGGUUUUAAACUAAACUAAUAAUUUAGGAGAUAGCUAAAAGUCAUUUGACUUGAUGAUUGGUGAUGGCCUAGA